rnacentral:tRNA from 1 species
GAGGUUGUGGCUCAGUGGUAUAGUGCUCGCCUAGCAUGUGUGCGGCCCUGGGUUCGAUCCUCAGCACCACA